GGUGGAAGAGGUGGUACAAGCAAAGACGAGUUCUCCCAGUCGCUCAGUCCGCGCCCCGAGACGCAAUCGUACGCAUGUUUAUUUACUUGAUCUCAUCUCGUACGGACGACGAGAUACUACGAGUACUCUCCUUGUUACCCGGCCGCAUAACCGUAAAUUUCUCGGACAACUUUCAAAGCUUAAGAGGAAGAAGCCCCGCGUCUAUACGUUUACACGAGAAUCCUCGAGAGACUAUUACAGAGAA